GGGGGACAGAUAAGAAGAGUGACUCACAUCAUCCUCAACUCCUAAAAAUUAGUAUGUCGUGGAGCUAGGCAAUUAAAGUCUUAGCAUGUUCAUGCCAAAACGAAUAAAGCCUUCAAUUACUGUCAUUAGAUUUUUUCUUCAAUGACGAUCUUCUAUCAGAGUAGGUUACCUUUUGACCGGCAGCUGGAGUUUUGAUGACAGCAUGACCAUCUGAUGAUUGCAAGGAGCUAACAAUUGUGAAAUUGCUAGAUUGAGUGGUGAUUGGUCCCAGUUGAAGCUGCUUGGUAGGUGACAAGAUAAGCUGAACUUCACCAGAACUGGAUACAGCUGGAACUUGCGUAGCUGUAGAAUGAUGUGUAGCAGUGAUCAAACUGGAUGGAGCUAUGAACAUUCAUGGGUUUGUUUUCUGCCUUAUCACUCACAUACAAAUUAUCUAAAACGGAAAGAAUGCUGGUCCCGUUCCUCUACUUUGCAUUGCAAAAAGUUUCACCCGGAAAACUUCGAAAAUGAGGAAAAUAUGACCCGGCAAAAAUCGGAAAAACCUCGAAGAGUCGGAAAUACAUACAUACAUAAAUAA
rnacentral:lncRNA from 1 species